GACGAACGCUGGCGGCGUGCUUAACACAUGCAAGUCGAACGGAAAGGCCCUGCUUUUGUGGGGUGCUCGAGUGGCGAACGGGUGAGUAACACGUGAGUAACCUGCCCUUGACUUUGGGAUAACUUCAGGAAACUGGGGCUCAUACCGGAUAGGAGCUCCUGCUGCAUGGUGGGGGUUGGAAAGUUUCGGCGGUUGGGGAUGGACUCGCGGCUUAUCAGCUUGUUGGUGGGGUAGUGGCUUACCAAGGCUUUGACGGGUAGCCGGCCUGAGAGGGUGACCGGCCACAUUGGGACUGAGAGACGGCCCAGACGCCUACGGGAGGCAGCAGGGGGGAAUAUUGCACAAUGGGCGGAAGCCUGAUGCAGAAACGCCGCGUGCGGGAUGACGGCCUUCGGGUUGUAAACCGAUUUCGCAUGUGACGAAGCGUGAGUGACGGUAAUGGGUAAAGAAGCACCGGCUAACUACGUG
rnacentral:rRNA from 1 species